rnacentral:rRNA from 1 species
CCCUAGUAACUGCGAGUGAAGCGGGAAAAGCUCAAAUUUAAAAUCUGGCGGUCUUUGGCCGUCCGAGUUGUAGUCUGGAGAAGCGUCUUCCGCGUUGGACCGUGUACAAGUCUCUUGGAACAGAGCGUCAUAGAGGGUGAGAAUCCCGUCUUUGACACGGACUACCAAUGCUUUGUGAUGCGCUCUCAAAGAGUCGCGUUGUUUGGGAAUGCAGCGCAAAAUGGGAGGUGAAUUCCUUCUAAAGCUAAAUAUUGGCGAGAGACCGAUAGCGAACAAGUACCGUGAGGGAAAGAUGAAAAGCACUUUGGAAAGAGAGUUAAACAGUACGUGAAAUUGCUAAAAGGGAAACGCUUGAAGUCAGUCGCGUCGUCCGGAACUCAGCUUUGCUUCGGCUUAGUGCACUUUCCGGUUGACGGGCCAGCAUCGAUUUUGACCGCUGGAAAAGGGCUGGAGGAAUGUGGCACCUUCGGGUGUGUUAUAGCCUUCAGUCGCAUACAGCGGUUGGGAUCGAGGAACGCAGCGCGCCUUAUGGCUGGGGUUCGCCCACAUUCGCGCUUAGGAUGCUGGCAUAAUGGCUUUAAACGACCCGUCUUGAAACACGGACCAAGGAGUCUAACAUGCCUGCGAGUGUUUGGGUGGAAAACCCGAGCGCGUAAUGAAAGUGAAAGUUGAGACCUCUGUCGUGGAGGGCAUCGACGCCCGGACCUGACGUUUUCUGAAGGAUCCGCGGUA